rnacentral:rRNA from 1 species
AGCAGCCGCGGUAAUUCCAGCUCCAAUAGCGUAUAUUAAAGUUGUUGCAGUUAAAAAGCUCGUAGUUGAAUUUCGGGGUUUAUCCGUUGGUCGGGCUUUUUGGUCUGUACUGGCGUGAUGGAUUCCUACCUUCUGAAUAACCGGCAUGCCAUUAAUUUGGUGCGCCGGGGAAGCAGGACUGUUACCUUGAAAAAAUUAGAGUGCUUAAAGCAGGCUUAUGCCUGAAUACAUUAGCAUGGAAUAAUGAAAUAGGACGGCAUGGUUCUAUUUUGUUGGUUUCUAGGAUCACCGUAAUGAUUAAUAGGGAUAGUUGGGGGCAUUAGUAUUCAAUUGUCAGAGGUGAAAUUCUUGGAUUUAUUGAAGACUAACUUCUGCGAAAGCAUUUGCCAAGGAUGUUUUCAUUAAUCAAGAACGAAAGUUAGGGGAUCGAAGACGAUCAGAUACCGUCGUAGUCUUAACCAUAAACUAUGCCGACUAAGGAUCGGACGAUGUUAAUUUUUUAAUGACUCGUUCGGCGCCU